rnacentral:sRNA from 1 species
GAGCAGACACUGGAAUGUGAAUGCAUUGGGAGGUGAGCCCUUAAGGAGAGCCCAAAUGUUUACCAAAGAGAAAAUCUGGUCAGAGGUUAUUCUCGUUCAAGUUAAUCCAGGUGAGACUUUCACAAUAAGAGCAGAGGAUGGAACACUUCAGUGCAUUCAAGGACCUGCUGAAGUUCCCAUGAUGUCACCCAAUGGAUCCAUUCCUCCCAUUCAUGUGCCUCCAGGUUAUAUCUCACAGGUAAUCCAUUUGAUGGACUUCUCUACUCACUAUGGACACUGUCGUUGCUCCAACAGAAUAUAUGUUGAGGCUUCAAAGCCAUAUUCCAGGAGUUAAUUUAGGUACCGUAGUGCUAGGUUUGCCAUCAUUUUGUGGCACCACAUGGCGUUUCUUGUGUCUUGCCACUUGACGUACCAGAGAACCAGAGAAAAGGAGACACAGAAGGCCUACUAGACUGUCCUCUGCCAAGUGGGGUUUUUAUAUUUGAUUGUUUGGUUGUGAUUUCUUUAUGGAGUCUCCUGCUUUAGACAUUUCCUUCCACCUGUAAUACAACUUU